rnacentral:sRNA from 1 species
CAUGAGUCAGAAUCCCCAUGGUGCCCAUGGCCUCCCUGCCUUUCUUUUUUCUCAGGCUGUGUUUAUUUAUAGUGCCAUUCCGGUACCUUCCGAAGCUAUCUGUCUGAUCCUUUUAGGGAUCAAUUGCAAAGAGACCUUGGUAUUGGGCAGCUUUUUAGUCAUUUAAUGCAAAUCGCCACACUGCUUUGCAGGUCAGGUUUUAAUGAUCUGGAAUCGAUCCAAGCUAAGUGGCUUUUGAUCUUGCUGCAGAGUGAAGAUGCCCCACAGAAGCCAGGAGCCGCUAGGCCACAUGCUCCUUAUUAGAGCUGAUGGCUUGAUUCUUGCUGCAUUUUUUAGUCUGUUUCAGAGUGAUUUUUCCUUUGUGUUUGAGUGUGUGGUUUUUUUUCUCCUAGGUAAUUUUGAGUGUGGAAAUCCAGAGAAUCUAAAAAGCAAAUGCAUUCCUGUUAUGGAAGCCCAAGAAUAUAUAGCCAAUGUGACCAGCAGCUCCUCCGCCAAGUUUGAAGCCGCACUGACCUGGAUACUGAGCAGUAACAAGGACGUGGGCAUCUGGUUGAAAGGAGAAGACCAGUCUGAAUUGGUGACGACGGUGGACAAGGUGGUCUGCCUGGAAUCUGCCCGCCCCCGCAUGGGUGUUGGCUGCCGCCUGAGCCGGGCCCUGCUCACUGCUGUCACCAACGUGCUCAUCUUCUUCUGGUGCUUGGCUUUUUUGUGGGGGCUCCUAAUUCUCCUAAAAUAUCGGUGGCGAAAGUUAGAAGAGGAGGAACAAGCCAUGUAUGAGAUGGUGAAGAAGAUUAUAGACGUGGUCCAGGACCAUUACGU